rnacentral:rRNA from 1 species
AGAAUCAACGCUGGCGGCGUGCCUAACACAUGCAAGUCGAACGAGAAAGUGGAGCAAUCCAUGAGUAAAGUGGCGACCGGGUGAGUAACACGUGACUAACCUACCUUCGAGUGGGGGAUAACCUCGGGAAACCGAGGCUAAUACCGCAUAACAUCGCAAGAUCAAAGCAGCAAUGCGCUGGAAGAGGGGGUCGCGGCUGAUUAGCUAGUUGGCGGGUAACGCCCACCAAGGCGAAGAUCGGUAGCCGGCCUGAGAGGGCGCACGGCCACACUGGAACUGAAACACGGUCCAGACUCCUACGGGAGGCAGCAGUGGGGAAUUUGCGCAAUGGGGGAAACCCUGACGCAGCAACGCCGCGUGGAGGAUGAAGCCCCUUGGGGCGUAAACUCCUUUCGACCAAGACGAUAAUGACGGUACUGGUGGAAGAAGCACCGGCUAACUCUGCGCCAGCAGCCGC